GCCGUUUCUUGUCCAUUUCGUCAGUGUGGGAGAACGUUUUCAGUCGUCUCUUCCUUUAUUUCUAAUUUUUCCACAGUACACAAGUCUUGUACAGUAUCCAGUCUUCUGGGCCAUGUAACAGUAGGAACAGAGACGAGACUAACGGCAACCAAUGAACAAGUUGAGGAUGUUUCAGUGUUGGAGGGGGAUUUGACUGACGACGUAACGUAAGUGAUGAUAACGAGGGAGACCAAGCAGCGGUGCUGCCAGAGAGAGCAGAUGAAUCCCUUUUCUUGAACAUUUGGCUUUCUUUUAUUUAAAGUUGCAGGCAAACUUUUACUGCCAGCAUCAGUCAUACAGUCUAUUAUUGAGGAUUUUCAAGCAGUGCAUGAUAUCAGUCAGUCUCAUUUACUUCAUAAGUUGGACGAAAAGCUGGUAUCAUUGGAUAUCUCUGACCGUGAGAGAGAGAGGUUCUUAAAUCCGAGGAUUUGUUUCGGGCAUGCAACACUGGUACCUUGAAAACUGAUCAAAGACAAAAAACGGUUUUUAAAAAUCAGUUUAGAUACAUUGAGCCAGUCCCACCUUAUCUUGGAAAGAAUGAUAUGGGAUCACAGAGUGGCUUUAGUGAAAACUUCAGUAAAGGCACCCAUUUCUGCAGAUUAUGUACUAGAGCCCGACCGAUAUAUCUAUAAUAUAUUAAUAUAUAUUAUAUAAUAAACAAAAAAAAAACGAUGAUUAUUUAUCUGUACUUGUCUGCUUGAACGUUGUAAUUGCUAUUUACUACAAUUAUCCAGUAGAGGGAGCUCUAAUACAAGUGUGAACUGCAGCAGCUGACGCGCUACUUCUCUAAUAAGACGUUUGUUACUCGUGCCUCAUCCAAUAUUCUCCACUGCAAGACUUGUCUGCACAGAUUCGGUUGCGGCAAUAAAGGUGAAAAGAAAACAAUUGCAUCAUACAAAGACAGCGUGCAGCACAGCAUGCAGCAUAACAUCGCACACUUCAAUCUCUUUCCUUGGGAUCUUGGUAAGUUAAAUGUUAAAUUUGCUAAAGUAUCGUAACUGUAGCAGCAACACGUGUGCUAUUGACUCUGUGUUUCCUUGAAAAUAGCAUUAGCCACACGUGGCGUUUAAUAUUUUUCAGUUUGCACACUUCAGUUUCUUCCUUUGGGAUUUCAGCGAGUUUAAAUUUGAAAUUUAGCUAAAAUAUCGCCAUUGUAGCAGCAACACGUGUGUUAUUAACUCCGUGUUUCCUUGAAAAUAGCAUUAGCCACACGUGGUAUGUAUAGCUAUUGAGUUUCUCUCAUAUAAAGUUGAAUGU